UGAACGCUGGCGGCGUGCCUAAUACAUGCAAGUCGAGCGAACAGACGAGGAGCUUGCUCCUCUGCCGUUAGCGGCGGACGGGUGAGUAACACGUGGAUAACCUACCUAUAAGACUGGGAUAACUUCUGGAAACCGGAGCUAAUACCGGAUAAUAUAUUGAACCGCAUGGUUCAAUAGUGAAAGACGGUUUUGCUGUCACUUAUAGAUGGAUCCGCGCCGCAUUAGCUAGUUGGUAAGGUAACGGCUUACCAAGGCAACGAUGCGUAUCCGACCUGAGAGGGUGAUCGGCCACACUGGAACUGAGACACGGUCCAGAAUACUACGGGAGGCAGCAGUAGGGAAUCUUCCGCAAUGGGCGAAAGCCUGACGGAGCAACGCCGCGUGAGUGAUGAAGGUCUUCGGAUCGUAAAACUCUGUUAUUAGGGAAGAACAAAUGUGUAAGUAACUAUGCACGUCUUGACGGUACCUAAUCAGAAAGCCACGGCUAACUACGUG
rnacentral:rRNA from 1 species